rnacentral:ncRNA from 3 species
GAUGAUAUAUUCUUUAUUGUUGCGGAAAUAAAAAAAUAGAGCCUGCCGACAUCCGUCAGGCUCUACAGUACACACAGCAACGCGUCCGUUCGGUAAUUAUUUUAAACUUCAUCCUUGCGCGGUAAAUAUAGUUAUAGUUCCCAUGCCAGAUAAUUCCAGUAUGAAAUGGUG